rnacentral:tRNA from 1 species
GACCAAUUAGCUCAGCAGGUAGAGCACCUGCCUUUUAAGCAGGGGGUCUGGGGUUCAAGUCCCCAAUUGGUCA